GACGAACGCUGGCGGCGUGCUUAACACAUGCAAGUCGAACGAAGAGCGAUGGAAGCUUGCUUCUAUCAAUCUUAGUGGCGCACGGGUGAGUAACGCGUAAUCAACCUGCCCUUCAGAGGGGGACAACAGUUGGAAACGACUGCUAAUACCGCAUACGAUCCAAUCUCGGCAUCGGGACUGGAUGAAAGGUGGCCUCUAUUUAUAAGCUAUCACUGAAGGAGGGGAUUGCGUCUGAUUAGCUAGUUGGAGGGGUAACGGCCCACCAAGGCGAUGAUCAGUAGCCGGUCUGAGAGGAUGAACGGCCACAUUGGGACUGAGACACGGCCCAGACUCCUACGGGAGGCAGCAGUGGGGAAUCUUCCGCAAUGGACGAAAGUCUGACGGAGCAACGCCGCGUGAGUGAUGACGGCCUUCGGGUUGUAAAGCUCUGUUAAUCGGGACGAAUGGUUCUUGUGCGAAUAGUGCGAGGACUUGACGGUACCGGAAUAGAAAGCCACGGCUAACUACGUG
rnacentral:rRNA from 1 species